rnacentral:rRNA from 1 species
AUUCGUCCAAGUGAAGUAGAGGACAGUGGCGGACGGGUGAGUAACGCGUGAGGAACCUGCCUUUCAGAGGGGGAUAACGAUUGGAAACGAUCGCUAAUACCGCAUAACAUUAUGAGGAGACAUCUUCUUAUAAUCAAAGGAGCAAUCCGCUGAAAGAUGGGCUCGCGGCCGAUUAGCUAGAUGGCGGGGUAACGGCCCACCAUGGCGACGAUCGGUAGCCGGACUGAGAGGUUGAACGGCCACAUUGGGACUGAGACACGGCCCAGACUCC